rnacentral:miRNA from 1 species
AAAUUUAAAUUCACAUAAACAGUGAAUAAUUUUUUAGUAUAAGCAUGUCCCAUGCAAUAUUUGGGAUAUACUUAUACUAAAAAAUUUUUUAUUUGUUUCUAUCUGAAAUUCAAAUUUAACUGGGCAUCCUGUUUUU